GAUGAACGCUGGCGGCGUGCUUAACACGUGCAAGUCGAACGAGAAAUGGAGACGGAAACCUUCGGGCGGAAGGCUUCAUUUCGAGUGGCGGACGGGUGAGUAACGCGUGGGUAACCUGCCUCAUACAGGGGGAUAACAGUUGGAAACGACUGUUAAUACCGCAUAAGACCACAGCACCGCAUGGUGCGGGGGUAAAAACUCCGGUGGUAUGAGAUGGACCCGCGUUCGAUUAGCCAGUUGGCGGGGUAACGGCCCACCAAAGCGACGAUCGAUAGCCGAUCUGAGAGGAUGACCGGCCACAUUGGGACUGAGACACGGCCCAAACUCCUACGGGAGGCAGCAGUGGGGAAUAUUGCACAAUGGGGGAAACCCUGAUGCAGCGACGCCGCGUGAGUGAAGAAGUACUUCGGUAUGUAAAGCUCUAUCAGCAGGGAAGAAAAUGACGGUACCUGAGUAAGAAGCCCCGGCUAACUACGUG
rnacentral:rRNA from 1 species